rnacentral:lncRNA from 1 species
UUUUUAUUUUUUUUAUUUUUUUGUAGAGACAGAGUCUCACUAUGUUGCCCAGGUUGGUCUCAAGCUCUUGUGCUCAAGUGAGCCUCCUGUCUUGGCCUUACAAAAUGGUCAUUUUUAAAGAGCUAACAACCUUUUGUCAGAAGUCUCUAGUCUCCUAAAAAUUCCCUUCAUGUCUCACUGACCAGAGUGUGGUCAUAUGCCAUUUCUCUAAGCCACACUCUGGAGAAUAGAAUCAGAACGACUGACUUAGAAAAUCAACAUUCAACUUCCAGUUCUGAUGUUUGAGCAAGCUCUGGCCGAAACACUUGAUUUCACAGAGCAGUGUGGGUAUCUGAACAAAAGUCAUGGUUCUGUUAGCAUGGAGAAGAAUGAGGAAGUGGCGGUUGUGUGGAUAACCAACAGUGAUUGCUGUAGUUGCUCACUGGCAUUCUGAUGUGCUUUCUUGAGGAAGAACAGAGGGAUUAAGGUAUAAUUAGAGCAACAGGAAUGGCACAUAAUGUGGUAUGUCUCUAUCGGAAUGUGUGAUGAAAAUGGCUAAAAUGCAUCUUGGCUGGAACCAGAUUAAGACCUGCUUGCUUCUCCAUAUCUCUGACCUUCACUUUGCAUGUGUUACUCAGUCUAGUGCAAUCUCACUCCCAAGCUCAUUGCAAUGAAUGCUUUAAAUAUGGACAGUCCUCUUUGCAUGGUAGAAAUUUCAGUUACCACAGCUUAGUUAAAUAAUACCAGUUCUCCAGCAUUUCAGAUUUCAGUUACCAUGGUAUAUUAACUAUGAGUAAUUGCAGGAAGUGCAAACUUCACAGCUAGCUCUUUAGUUCACAGAUCACUACAUAAAUAAACAACAUGUACAUCAUAAUCAGUGAUCAAUGAUGUCUGUUGUGGACACUUUGAAGAAUAGGAUGAACUCCCAUCAAAAUUUUUGGUUUGGACGUCAAGACCGAUGACACCAUAAACACACACCAAGAAGGUGUAUGUGUUCUUUACAUUGGUUUGUUAUUUCUGGGAAGAAUAGGGCAGCCCUCCCAAGCUGGUUUGAAAAUGGCUUGAACAGAGGAAGGGAGACUGGCUGGGGGUAUUUAUUGUGCUCUGGGGAGUGAACUAGGAUGAGAGUUUUACACAUAAGCGGGGACUUGCAUGGUUUGAAUCUGUCACCAAAGGAGGGAGCACACAGGCUUUCUUGCCCAGAUGUGGGGCAGAAGGUGAAGAGGGCGAGGUGAGACUUUAGCAGUCAGACAUCAAAAAAAGGGGUUAGGCCGGGCAUGGUGGCUCAUGCCUGUAAUUCCAGCACUUUGGGAGGCCGAGGUGGGCAGAUCACAAGGUCAAGAGCUCAAGACCAGCCCGGCCAACAUAGUGAAACCCUGUCUCUACUAAAAAUACAAAAAAUUAGCUGGGUGUGGUGGAGGACACCUGUAAUUCCGGCUACUCGAGAGGCUGAGGCAGGAGAAUCGCUUGAACCCAGGAGAUGGAGGUUGUAGUGAGUGGAGAUCAUGCCACCACACUCCAGCCUGGGAGAUAGUGUGAGACUCCAUCUCAAAAAAAAAAAAAAAAAAAUGGAGUUAGAUUCUUUACUACAACACCACUUGUUUCAAAGUCUCUUGGUGACUGAUUUCUGUGUAAGUCAUUCAGUUCAUACAUAGACAGCAAAGCAUGUAGCUGUGAUGCCUCCUUGUCUUUCAGUGGUAAUAAGCCCAUGUGACAUUUCACAAAAAUAGGCAAUCAAAAGAAGAAACUGGCCAACAAAGAUCAAAGCGCAGCAGCAAAGAAACAAAAUGUGCCACACGGCAGCCAUGGAUGGAGAUGUUGGUUGGGGGCUGUGCACUGGGGUCUGUGCACAAGCCCAUGACGGACAGGAGUGUACUCCGUUCCUAAGAAGGUCAGAAACUGGAGAACCCAGGUUAGCCCAUCCUAGAAGACUUUUUUGGAGUUGUGCUGAAGGGAGGAGAAAGUUAUUUAAAGGAAGUUCCAGGGCAGAAGGAGAGGAAAGAGAGAAUGAGGCAGAAAAAAUAGUUGAAGAAAUAAUGGCUGAACACUUCCCAACUUUGGUGAAAGAUAUAUUUUCAGAUUCGAGAAGCACAGUAAAACUCAAAGCAGAAUUGGAAAUAAAAAAACAAAAAAGUGUCCCUUGGCACAUCAUAGUCAAACUGCUAAAAAACAAAGAGAAAGAGAAAAUGUUGAAAGCAACCAGAGAAAAAGAACACACUGCAUACACAGAACAACGUUUCAAUGUCACUGUUUUCUCAUGAAAAAUGAUAUAGGCCAGAAGACAGUAGAACAUCUUUAAAAUGCUGAAAGAAAAAGUCAGCUCAGAAAUGCUUUUCCUGGCUGGGCAUGGUGGCUCACGCCUGUAAUCCCAGCACUUUCGAAGGCUGAGGUGGGUGGAUUGCUUGAGCUCAAGAAUUUGAGUCCACCCUGAGCAACUAAGUCAGACCCCACUCUACAAAAAACACAAAAAUUAGCCAGGCAUGGUGAUGUGUGCCUGUAAUCCCAGCUACUUGGGAGAC